rnacentral:tRNA from 2 species
GCCCGUUUGGCUUAGUGGUACAGCGUCUCACUCGUAAUGAGAAGAUCCUCGGUUCGAUUCCGAGAAUGGGCA